GCUUAACACAUGCAAGUCGAGGGGCAGCAUGGUCUUAGCUUGCUAAGGCCGAUGGCGACCGGCGCACGGGUGAGUAACACGUAUCCAACCUGCCGUCUACUCUUGGACAGCCUUCUGAAAGGAAGAUUAAUACAAGAUGGCAUCAUGAGUCCGCAUGUUCACAUGAUUAAAGGUAUUCCGGUAGACGAUGGGGAUGCGUUCCAUUAGAUAGUAGGCGGGGUAACGGCCCACCUAGUCUUCGAUGGAUAGGGGUUCUGAGAGGAAGGUCCCCCACAUUGGAACUGAGACACGGUCCAAACUCCUACGGGAGGCAGCAGUGAGGAAUAUUGGUCAAUGGGCGAGAGCCUGAACCAGCCAAGUAGCGUGAAGGAUGACUGCCCUAUGGGUUGUAAACUUCUUUUAUAAAGGAAUAAAGUCGGGUAUGGAUACCCGUUUGCAUGUACUUUAUGAAUAAGGAUCGGCUAACUCCGUGCCAGCAGCCGCGGUAAUACGGAGGAUCCGAGCGUUAUCCGGAUUUAUUGGGUUUAAAGGGAGCGUAGAUGGAUGUUUAAGUCAGUUGUGAAAGUUUGCGGCUCAACCGUAAAAUUGCAGUUGAUACUGGAUAUCUUGAGUGCAGUUGAGGCAGGCGGAAUUCGUGGUGUAGCGGUGAAAUGCUUAGAUAUCACGAAGAACUCCGAUUGCGAAGGCAGCCUGCUAAGCUGCAACUGACAUUGAGGCUCGAAAGUGUGGGUAUCAAACAGGAUUAGAUACCCUGGUAGUCCACACGGUAAACGAUGAAUACUCGCUGUUUGCGAUAUACUGCAAGCGGCCAAGCGAAAGCGUUAAGUAUUCCACCUGGGGAGUACGCCGGCAACGGUGAAACUCAAAGGAAUUGACGGGGGCCCGCACAAGCGGAGGAACAUGUGGUUUAAUUCGAUGAUACGCGAGGAACCUUACCCGGGCUUAAAUUGCAGAUGAAUUACGGUGAAAGCCGUAAGCCGCAAGGCAUCUGUGAAGGUGCUGCAUGGUUGUCGUCAGCUCGUGCCGUGAGGUGUCGGCUUAAGUGCCAUAACGAGCGCAACCCUUGUUGUCAGUUACUAACAGGUUCCGCUGAGGACUCUGACAAGACUGCCAUCGUAAGAUGUGAGGAAGGUGGGGAUGACGUCAAAUCAGCACGGCCCUUACGUCCGGGGCUACACACGUGUUACAAUGGGGGGUACAGAGGGCCGCUACCACGCGAGUGGAUGCCAAUCCCCAAAACCUCUCUCAGUUCGGACUGGAGUCUGCAACCCGACUCCACGAAGCUGGAUUCGCUAGUAAUCGCGCAUCAGCCACGGCGCGGUGAAUACGUUCCCGGGCCUUGUACACACCGCCCGUCAAGCCAUGGGAGCCGGGGGUACCUGAAGUGCGUAACCGCGAGGAGCGCCCUAGGGUAAAACUGGUGACUGGGGCUAAAA
rnacentral:rRNA from 1 species